CUCACGACUCUUCCUCUUCUUCUUCUUUAUCUUCUUAGCGCCUGCAAAAUAAAAAUAAAAAACAAACGACUUUAGCCGCAUGUGGCGCUGUCGAUUUCACUCAACACUUUCACAUUCGUACUCGGAAACAAACCCCCACCUCCUAAGUACGACCCCGCCUACUUCUAAGAGCGGCAAAUUCAUUUUGCAAAAAGACAGUCUAGUGUGAACAUCUCCUACAGCCGCUUAAAAAACAUGCAAAAAGCAACAACAAAAAAAAACUUACCGCAGAUAGGUGUAGGACUUUCGUCGUCUUUUUCGAUGAUGUUGUCCUCGAGCAAGUCUUCGGUGUGGAGAGUAUUUUGUGGGAAAAACCCCUCUUCUUUCACCGCGAGCAAGCCUUCAGCCUCCGCUGGAACGUCAUUGUUCUUCAAUGUCAACCUCCUCGACACUUUUUGGCGGGAGACCCGUUAAAGGCGUCCAACGCGCCAGAGGCGUAAAAAUCUGAACCACCACCACCGGAGUAAACACCCCGCAUUCAGAGUUAAAAGACUCCAAAGAAAAGACGUCUGGUUCGGUCGACUGAGGCUGAUAGGAUCCGUUGAUUUUAGGAGCACGGAGACUGGCACGAAAAAACCAACGACCUGAGGCAGAAGAUUUCGUCUCCCAAGUAGCGCUAAACAAAAUUCUUCUCUCACGCAACUCAUCCAGCGUCGGCUGAAACAAACAGAUAUCUCCCAUCUGGUAUCGGAAAACGUAUCCAAAAGAUCCAAUCAUUCCAUAACCCUCCAAGCACCACUUCUCACGCAAAGACUCGGUUGGAGGAAUUUGAGUACGAUUCAAAAAAAUCCUACUUUUCCGAGGAGCGUCGUAGUAAGUUUUAUCAUUUUUAUAAAUUGAAACUGGCGUUUCGCUAAUCAUGCCUACUGAAACAACAGCUUUCUCCAUCUUUUCCAUUUUCUCUUAAUGCUCGUACUAACAAAGACUUACCAUUCACAUAUACCAGUGUAUGUGUGUGUGUGUACGUACAUGUGUUAAUACUCAAAAAGUCGUAAAUCGCAUUUUGACAUAAAGUGUCUCCCCCCUUAGCCCCACCUUCCUCUGACCUCCCCUUCACCCCACCCCUCCUCUUACAGGGCCAUCAAUCACAUUUUGACAUAAGGUGUCUCCCCCUCAGCCCCGCCUCCUUCUGACCUCCCCUUCACCCCACCCCUCCUCUUACAGGGCCAUCAAUCACAUUUUGACAUAAGGUGUAUUCCCCCCUCAGCCCCGCCUCCUUCUGACCUCCCCUU